rnacentral:lncRNA from 13 species
AGGUGAAUUAGUAUGUGUGUGUGUUUGUGUGAGUGUGUGUGUGUAUGUAUAUUUAAAGUUAAAAAAUGUUUAAGGGGUGUAUGUUAGUAGAAUCACAGCAGGGAAAAAAUUACAUGCUUAGAUACUUUGAAAAUAGUUUAAUAAAAUAAAAGGAUUGUUUAUAAAACUGUGGGUAGAAAUUAGGAAAACCACAGGAUAGGACCUCAAGUUGGGGGAAUGCAGAGGGCUCCUGACAGCUGCUAAGCUUCGGGUUGAGGGAGGCAGCCAGUGUGCCAAGGUGCUGCAGGGGAAAACAGGAAAUUAGAUGCCCUGGCCUCUCCCUUCUUUCUUCCUGCAAGCUUAUACCAGUGUCUCCUAUUGGACAAACCAAGUGGGAAGGCAGAAGGCACAGGUGUCCAUUGAUACAGUCCACAGAGGUGAAAUCCCCAGAGUGGAGGAGAGUGGAUCGGGGCAAGUGGAAAUUGCCCAGCAUGGACUAAUGAAUAAUGACAGGCCUGUAAUUAGACUGACAUCGGAGCUUGCAUUGUCCCAGAUAGUCGCUCUCCGAGGCAAAGGUCUGGUCUCAGCUCCCAGGUGGCACCUUGGCCUUUCCCUCCACAGUCUUGCUCACGGCCUUGACUUCCUGCAAAGUGACUUGCCUCCCAGAUCCUGAACAGUCAGAAAGGAACCACAUGGGAUGUUGGGACAUCCUGUGUGGCACAGAAUUGGAGAGACAUGAAGUGCCUUCCUGCUGGUGCCAGCAUGUCAGGUGGAGACAGGCUGAGUGAAGAGCCCAGCCUGGGAUCCUGGCACUAUUGCUUCAGCUCCCAGGUCUCAGUUUGGUCUUCCAUAAACCCUCAAAGUGUUGGCGAAGAUCAGUCUUUUUGUACUGCAUUUGGAAUACCCUGGGAAUGCAAGUUAUUUGGAUUUUGCAUGGAACCAGAGAGCAAGAACAUUGUGAUCAUCACCUGGUUGGCAGGUUUUCACCGAGGUCUCUGGACACCUGUGGGGCUUCUGAGGGGUUCAAAAGGCACAGUGCCUGGCGUAUAGCAGGUGCUCACUCAUUACUGGCCAACAGACUUGAGUGAGGUCUUAGCAUGAAGCUCAUCUCAGUGGGAGAAAGUGGCCAGGACGUGGGGAGCUGGGCGCUUCUGCAGAAAGGCCAGGGGGUGGCUCUACCCCGCCCCUUGAAGCCUGCUUUUGUUCCUCCUGGGAAUACCUGACAGCAGCAAUUAGCAGGAAGUCCUUGAGUGUCCCCCUCUCCACUGCAGGCUUUCCCCACUAAGGGAGAGACGGCACUUCAUCUGAGUGACACCUCAUUCGAAUGGGAAGAGUCCUUUGUCUCAUCCAGAAAAGAGGAAGCGCUGUUAUCUCCUGAUUCUGCUUUAUGACCAUUGCUGUCACUCUGAUGAGCUACAAUGUUUCUGGCCUCAAUGGGGGACAUCAUGGGGAAGGAGGUGAAUGCAAUGGGUCACACAAUAGCAGAGGCUAAGGAGGGGAGCAAGUGCCACCAGAAACGAAGAAGGAACCCCAGAGUGAACCCCCCUGAAAGAAAACCAGGAGUCACAGCGCAGCAUAAGAGAAACUGGUGUCUCUCUGAGGGGAUGGGGACUUCGAAUGCAGCUCUCCUAGGAGUGGGGAUCUGAGCCCCUCUGUCAAGCUGGCUCUGACAU